CCCCCAGUAACGGCGAGUGAAGAGGGAUAAGCCCAGCGUCGAACCCGCGAGUCUAGGCUUGUCGGGCAUGUGGCGUGUGGAUCCUCUCGCGCUCAACAAGACGGCAACCGCACGUCCUAAUGAUUCAGGCCUUUCCCACAGAGGGUGUCAGGCCCGUACCUGGUUGUUUGUCUUGGGAGCAGUGAGGUAUCUUAGAGUCGGGUUGUUUGGGAAUGCAGCCCAAAGUGGGAGGUAAACUUCUCCUAAGGCUAAAUACCAUGGCGAGACCGAUAGCGAACAAGUACCGUGAGGGAAAGUUGAAAAGCACUCUGAAGAGAGAGUUCAAUAGUACGUGAAACUGUUGAGAGGUAAACGGUGAAGGCGUCUCUUCUUCUCGGUCAGAUUCAGCCGCGAGCUCGGUGUCCGUCGAUCUAGUCAGACCGUAAGGCUGCUUGGGUCGCGGGUCGCCGGGAAAACGGUGCACUUCUGGUCGGGAUUAGUCACGGCCGAUUGGUCGGGAGUGUGGUGCCGCGUGGGUUGGAGGUUUGUCGCUUGCGUCAAGCCAAUACCCGCGUACGCAUGGCCUCUUGGUCGAUCGCAGAAGCGGAGCAGCAGCUACAGGCGGCGCGUGCGCCUUCGUCUUUUUCUCGAGGUGUCGUAUCUCUCACGAGAAAUGCGAUGCCGAACGGAAUCGGACUGGGGGUUCGCUCGUUUGUUGCUCCCCGCCCGUGGCGUGGGUGCCCUUUACCGACCCGUCUUGAAACACGGACCAAGGAGUCUAACAUGUGUGCGAGUCUUGAGGGUUCGGAACACCCGCAGGCGCAAUGAAGGUGAAGCUAGUUCUGCUAGUGAGGCGGGAUAGGGGCUUCGGCUCCUCGCACCGCCGUCCCGUCCACCGCAUCCUCGUAUGUUGGGCGGAGACUGAGCAUACACGUUGGGACCCGAAAGAUGGUGAACUAUGCCUGAACAGGAUGAAGCCAGGGGAAACUCUGGUGGAGGUCCGUAGCGAUUCUGACGUGCAAAUCGAUCGUCUGAUUUGGGUAUAGGGGCGA
rnacentral:rRNA from 1 species